GUUUGUUUCUGACACUGAAUACACCCAAUCUCAUCUGAUCUGCAAAGCUAAGCAGGGUUGGGCCUGGUUAGUAUUUGGAUGGGAGACUACCUGGGAAUACCAGGUGCUGUAAGCU
ensembl:rRNA 5S_rRNA 5S ribosomal RNA